rnacentral:rRNA from 1 species
GAUGAACGCUAGCUCCAGGCUUAACACAUGCAAGUCGCGGGGCAGCAUGGGGGUUGCUUGCAAUCCCCGAUGGCGACCGGCGCACGGGUGAGUAACGCGUAUCCAACCUGCCCUUCACCACGGGAUAACCCGGCGAAAGUCGGACUAAUACCGUAUGUUGUCCAUUGACGGCAUCCGAUUUGGACGAAAGGCUUGGCGGUGAGGGAUGGGGAUGCGUCCGAUUAGCCAGACGGCGGGGUAACGGCCCACCGUGGCUACGAUCGGUAGGGGUUCUGAGAGGAAGGUCCCCCACACUGGAACUGAGACACGGUCCAGACUCCUACGGGAGGCAGCAGUGAGGAAUAUUGGUCAAUGGGCGUAAGCCUGAACCAGCCAAGUAGCGUGCAGGAUGACGGCCCUAUGGGUUGUAAACUGCUUUUAUGCGGGGAUAAAGUGGCCCACGUGUGGGCUUUUGCAGGUACCGCAUGAAUAAGGACCGGCUAAUUCCGUG